rnacentral:lncRNA from 1 species
CAAAAGACUUUUAUGCUCUUGUUAUUUAUAUAUAUAAUAAAUAAUUAUUUAAAUAAAAACAAAAUAACAAAAAAAAUGUAAUUUUUUUUUAUGUUUUCGAAUUAUAAUUCAAACUUUUUUAUAAUUUUUUUUUUGAAUUUUGUUUUUUUUCAAAUUUCUUUUUGAAAAACGAAAAUUAUGUUUGAAGCUAUUUUUAAAAAUUUUAUAUAUUUU